rnacentral:rRNA from 1 species
UACGUAGGGUGCGAGCGUUAAUCGGAAUUACUGGGCGUAAAGCGCACGUAGGCGGAUUGCUAAGUCAGGGGUGAAAUCCCGGGGGCUCAACCUCGGAACUGCCUUUGAUACUGACAAUCUCGAGUCCGAUAGAGGUGGGUGGAAUUCCUAGUGUAGAGGUGAAAUUCGUAGAUAUUUAGGAAGAACACCGGUGGCGAAGGCGGCCCACUGGAUCGGUACUGACGUGAGGUGCGAAAGCGUGGGGAGCAAACAGG